rnacentral:rRNA from 1 species
UACGGAGGGUGCAAGCGUUGUCCGGAAUUAUUGGGCGUAAAGAGCUUGUAGGCGGUCUGUCGCGUCUGCUGUGAAAAUCCGGGGCUCAACCCCGGACUUGCAGUGGGUACGGGCAGACUGGAGUGCGGUAGGGGAGAAUGGAAUUCCUGGUGUAGCGGUGGAAUGCGCAGAUAUCAGGAGGAACACCGAUGGCGAAGGCAGUUCUCUGGGCCGUAACUGACGCUGAGGAGCGAAGGCGUGGGGAGCGAACAGG